UUGCACGCUGGCGGCAUGCCUUACCCCUGCCAGUCGCACGGUAACAGGUCUUCGGAUGCUGACGAGUGGCGAACGGGUGAGUAAUACAUCGGAACGUGCCCAGACGUGGGGGAUAACGAGGCGAAAGCUUUGCUAAUACCGCAUACGAUCUAAGGAUGAAAGCAGGGGACCGCAAGGCCUUGCGCGUUUGGAGCGGCCGAUGGCAGAUUAGGUAGUUGGUGGGAUAAAAGCUUACCAAGCCGACGAUCUGUAGCUGGUCUGAGAGGACGACCAGCCACACUGGGACUGAGACACGGCCCAGACUCCUACGGGAGGCAGCAGUGGGGAAUUUUGGACAAUGGGCGAAAGCCUGAUCCAGCAAUGCCGCGUGCAGGAUGAAGGCCUUCGGGUUGUAAACUGCUUUUGUACGGAACGAAAAGGCUCUGGCUAAUACCUGGGGCACAUGACGGUACCGUAAGAAUAAGCACCGGCUAACUACGUG
rnacentral:rRNA from 1 species